rnacentral:lncRNA from 1 species
UCAGUUGCUGUGUUGACACACUUAUUUAUUGCCUGAGAUGAUGAUGAUGAUACAGAAAUACUUCCACGUAAUAUGUAUAAUCCAUGUUACUCUCCACCAAUCCCCUUCACCUAACCACUAAGGAGGUGCUGAAAGAUAUAGAAGUCAGGGAAGAAACCAACCAUACACUUUAGUUCCUUAGUGACUUUUGAAACUGAGAGUAGAUUGAACUGAAAGUCAGGAAUGUAAAAAACAUUAGAGAUUUCCUUAUUGCUUAAUACAAAAGUGUUUCCUGUGUGUGAUACUGAUACAACACUUCAAGUAGUUAAAUGUACUUUGUUUUCUUCUGUGUUUGGAAGUGCCCUGUGAGUAUGUAGCAUAAGGCUUGAAGUCAUGUGAUUUGUUGCCCUAGUGUCGACAAUCCAUUUUCGAUUGACACAAUGAGACAUAAAAUCAUUCACUUUUCAUAAAAUACUGAUAGCAACUAAUUUGCCUAAUAAGCUUGAUCCUCCUAUGCUUCCUUUGGAUAAGAAAUGAAUAAUCUGCUAAAAUUGUUCAGGAGUAAAGAUAGGAGCAGGAUAUGGAAUUUGCUGGAAUAAAGCAGGUUGAUUUGCUUGUUGUAAUACACUUGAAUUAGAAUAACAUCCUCCUCUACCUUGUUGAGACACAUUAGAAGCUACAUUGUUUUCCCAUAAUAUAUCUGUCUGCACAACUCAUCUCUGGACCACACACUUGAUUUGCAUACUAUGCAGUAUUAAUUCCCUCCUUUUUGGACUUGAAAUUAGGAGGAUAUCCAAUUAGCUUGUAGCAGUUUUCCUUUAUAUGCCCCUUAUAUUAACAAUACUCACACUAACCUAACUCUUCUUUUACUUAUAAUUUCCAAUAUUGUUUAUGUUCUUGCUAUUGUAUGUAGCUGCAUUCUCUAAGACUUCAGAAAUUUGAGCUACUUAUGUUAUACUUGUAAGGUUUCUUUGACUUUCUUAUACAACUAAGAUAGAAUAAGCCUUGUUUAUGCAAGGAAAAUGAGAUAUAUCAUGAUUUGGCUUCUUGGCUGAGAGUAGGACUCAUUCAGACUAGUAAGAAAUUGAAGAAGCUUUUCAAUAAUCAAAGUGUUUCAAAAAGGAAAGCGAGCUUGCUUCUUAUUCCAAUGUUUGAUCUCUUACAUAUCUGCCUAUAUCGUUGUCACCUAACUUGAAGAAAGAGCAUACUUCUUUGAAUCAGGAUAUGGACAACUAGGGCAUAGCAUAAUAGAUUCGAACUCAUCAAGAAGCUCUCCGAGUUUGAAGAAAUAGUCAGUUACAGUCAUAACUCCUUGUGUCAAAGUACUGUUCGGGUAUAGAAUUAUGGAACCAUUCACUUUAUCAAACCUCUCUUUUAUGUCUUCCCAAACUUUAUGAGCACUAGAUGCAUAUAGGACACUAUUUAGCAAACCCGACCUCACAACAUUCAUUAUCCAUAACAUAACAAUAGCAUUAACUUUCUCCCACAAAUCAUGAAGCUCAGGAUCAAACUAAGAUUUAGGAAACCUAUUGUCGAUGCCCCUAUUUUCCAAAAUGGAGUUUGGAAUCAGGUAUACGACAUUCAGGAGGACAACUUUAUUCCCUUGCGAGAAUUGGAUUUUGGAGUUUGAAGGGACGCCGCCUAAUGAUUAUAGUGCAUUAGGACACUUUAAAGAAAAGAUUUGAGAUGAAGAACCAGAGUUUGGGUAAGGGCUAGAAAUUAUCUCGAGGGGAAGGUGUUCGGCACCCCUCAAGAUCCACUAGUGUGGUUCUCGACCAUGCUACAAUUGUGACUUUAAGCAAUAAAGAAGACAAGUAGAAUAUAAAGAAGUGGGACUUCACAAAGUAUUGCAAACAAGUUUAAGAGUUUGAAAAAAGAGAAAGCAAUAGAAAAUUUAGAAAGUUAGUUUAAAAGAAAACAAUUAACAAAAGGGUUAUAAGCAAAGGGGAGAGGAGGUCCUAGGUUUAAAAAUAAUAUGGAUCACAUCAAUGUAAUAUCCAGAUAUCACUCCUCGGAAGAGGGGUCACACGUGAUAUUAGCGCACCGGUCAUCAUAUCCAUAUUCUACCCUUCCCAUCCCGUUAAGGUAUUAAAGCGCGGAAUGUCUCAUUACUUAUUGCAUGCCAGUACUCAUCCCAAUCCUAUCAGUCCCGGAGGAAUUUAGGACUACUAAUCGUAAAGGGAAAAGGGAUAAGGCUUUUGAGAGUUUAAAAAGGGCAAAAUACAAAGGCGACAUUCAAAACACAUAUACAAGUAAAGGGAAA